rnacentral:lncRNA from 1 species
GAAUGACGUUUGCUUUAAUGAGGUUGGAAGACUUGAAGAAACCAUAUUACUACAAGAAGCCAAUAAAAAAUGAGGCAUAUUUCUACUUCCAGGCUCUGAAGACACAGGAUACAGGGCACUACCUCUGUUUUUACUAUGAUGGGUCAUACAGGGGCUCACUGCUUAGUGAUAUCCUGAAAAUCUGGGUGACUGGUAAGACAUGGGUAUGCUAUGGAAUAGGUUAUAAAGCUUCUUCUGACUCCCUCUCCCAUCCUUUACUCAAUCACUCAGCCAGGGCUAGUGGUGGUGGUCAGGAACAGAAUUUGUGGACCACACUGGGGGAUUUGCAAAGUUCAAACUAGAAGACAGAGGAAGGAGAUAGCCCUAAGUAUUAGAAGCAGUAGAGAGUUUUACCAUUGGCUAUUUGUAUUUUGGGUUUCAUCCUAGACACUUUUCCCAAGACCUGGCUACUUGUUCAGCCCAGCCCUGUGAUUCAAAUGGGUCAAAACGUGAGCCUGAGAUGUGGAGGACUGAUGGAUGGAGUGGGUCUUGCACUCCAUAA